UACGUAGGCAGCAAGCGUUGUUCGGAGUUACUGGGCGUAAAGAGUGCGUAGGCGGUCCUUUAAGUUUGGUGUGAAAUCUCCCGGCUCAACUGGGAGGGUGCGCCGAAAACUGGGAGGCUUGAGGAUGGGAGAGGCAUGCGGAAUUCCUGGUGUAGCGGUGAAAUGCGUAGAUAUCAGGAGGAACACCUGCGGUGUAGACAGCAUGCUGGACCAUUUCUGACGCUGAGGCACGAAAGCGUGGGUAGCAAACAGG
rnacentral:rRNA from 1 species